UGGGGUAAAAGGAACUGGACGGCAUAUAAAUGUCUUUCAGUACAAGCAUGCACUUCUCUUAGCCAGCGCGGCGUGGAUUGAACCUGACGUCAUAGUACGGGUGUCUGGUAGGGCAACAAAGUGAACUCCUUCACAUGGGGGCAUAUUCAGCAAACGGCUAGAGCGAUGGACGUGUUAAAGAGCAGCUGCAGUUGAUGUUCAGCUGAUGGGCAUCUCUGAUAUGCAUCCAUACGUGUGACCUGCUGAAGCGUGUCUGUGUGCUGGGUCAUGUGACCGUGGAAGUGUGCAUGGAGCGUGCCAGCUUUGAAUAUGCGUGAGGCAGGCUAAGUGCUACAGGUGUGUGCGUCAAACGCACAAACCGGCCGGACAACUUGCUGAUUCAGCCCUGCGGUGCUAAAGAUGUCUGUUUGUGUGUGUGCGUGCAAGACACUGAGCCUACUUAGCACGGCUAAGCCGGGCGGGCAGAGAGUGGAGUAGAGGACAGACAGCAAAGCACAAUAAUAAGGUCACAAAGCGCAGCCUCCAUGCUCGGCUCCCAUGAUCCCUCAGCUGAUCCUGCAGCUGAUCUGACAGAAACAGCCUCCUUGUUCCACUCAGUCAGCACAUCAGCCCCUUUCAACUUCAUCCAGGUUACUAAAUACAUAGAUUAAUACUCUCGCUACAUUCUGCACCACCUGCU